AGGGAGUCUUGAGACACGCCCCACCAGAGAAUGGUGGUCCUAAGUGGCUGCAUGACUGCAGAUCUAGAUGACUGAUCUGCGAUGGAGCUGGCAAGAGUGAGCUUUAGUCACACUUCUCCAAGCUGAGUGCUACAGAGAGGAUUAACUUGCAUUCUCUUAGCAGGCGCCUUGAAACUGCUUUGGGAACAACAAUGAAGGAAGAACCUUGGGAAACCUAGAGCACACUGAUCCACUUCACCCAUGCUCAGGAGUCCUGAGAUGAGCCACAGUAUUCAAGGUAUGCCAUCCUCUUCUUGGCAUCGGUUGUCCAUCUUAAACUC